UUGAGACAAGUUAUCACUAAAUUGUUAAAUUCCCCAGGCUGGGCCAGAAUUUGUGAUCAUUCCGUCUCAGAGUCCCACACUGUUGGGAUUACAGGCUUGCACUGCCAUGCACAGCUUCACCUGGAUUAUUUUAAUGACGUAGGGGAUUUCUUGCCUCACUUCUGUCUAAUUAGGUUGGCUUACCACAUAGGAUUUUUUAAAAACUAUGUCAAAAUCUGUCAGUUGUUUACUAAAAACACCUCAGUAGUCCCCUCCUCACUCAAAACAGAAAAUGUCUGAAUGGAAGGGCCUACAGAACCUAGGACUUUCCUUUAGUCUCCUCUGGUCUCAGGCACCAGCUUCCACCUCCUGCUCUAGCCACCACAUCCUGCUCAGGACCUUUGCACUUCCCAGGACCCAGACCUCUCUGCCCUCUAAUAGCUACACUGACAGGGCUUGCUCCCUCCCCACAGGUCUGUGUGUUCUGAACACUUUAACUCUAAACUUUGUCAGGCCUGACAUAAGUGAAUCCUUCACAAACAAAUGAUAAAGCAAACAAGCUGCUUUUAGCAAACAAUAGCAGCUUCUCAGUAAAUAGGGCAAAUGGACUCAAAACGAAGUAUACAACCCCCCCGGCACUGAGAAGUCCAGUGAUUUGUCUGCACACCUCAGCAGACCAUCCUUGAGCAUCCAAGUCAUAAAUAUUUCACCCCAGAUUCCUUAGCACCUUCAAUACCUAGCUUAAUUCAUCUCCCAGUUAAUUGUUUAAGAACUCCUCUCGACAAAUUAGAGGAAUUCUUUUUUUUUUUUUUGGUACCAGGAUUGAACUCGGGCCCUUGCACGGGCGCCGGAACCACUGAGCUAAAUCCCCAGCCCAAAUGUAAGUGAGGUUUAUUGUUUUGUUUUGUUUUGGUACCAGGGAUCGAACUCGGGUCCUUGUGCUUGUGCAGCAGGCAGCGAAACCACUGAGCUAAAUCCCCGACCCUCAGUUAAUUGUGAAUAUCUCUCUCCUAGUAUUAGCCCAGUCACUCAAGGAUGAAAUCUCUCCUGCUAUCUAGCUGCUGCUAUCUCUCUCCCGAUGUCAGCCCAUCCACACACAGAUGUCAUAAAACUUGGCUUUUCCCAGCUAGCUGCUAAAAUCUCCUGAUUUUAGUCCCUGUUAACUGGAUAAACUUUCCUUUCAAAAGUGUUUUGACAAGUGGAUUCUUUAUAAUACUUCAGACUCUCUCACUGUCACUCUGUUCACUUUUCUUGGCUUAGUUUUGUUAACGAUUAGCACCAGUAUUUUUGGCAUCAAUAUAUUUGUAUCUGCAUGUUGCUGGUUUCCCACACUGCAAUGUAGGCUAAAGAAAGGAUCUUGUUUGGGCCGGGGAUUUAGUUCAGUGGUUUCGGCACCUGCCUCACAAGUACAAGGUCCCAAGUUCAUCCCCGGUGCCAAAAACUAAAAAUAGAAAUAAAUUAAAAUUUAAAAAAAGAAAGGAUCUUUUCUACUGCUUCAGGGUUCGACUAAUGCCUGGGUCAUAACAGAUACCUCAUAAAUUUUUGCUGAAGGAAAGAUUUUGUUCAUUACAGCUCCUCAGAGGUAGCAUUACUGUCUUGGUUCUAGAAAUGAGGUGAGCAUCUAAAGUAUUAGAAACAGCUAAAUUUGAUAGAAAGUAAUAAGCAGUCAGAGAGGGAUUAGACUCUCAGAGUCAGCACAAAAAAAAUAGACGUCUGGGGCUGGGGAUUUAGCUCAGUGGUUCCACUGUCUGCCUUGCAAGCACAAGGACCCAAGUUCGAUCCCCAGUACCAAAAAAGAAACCCCAACCAAAUAACAAAAAAAAUAGACGUUGGAAUUGUGGCUGAAUCUGAAGAAAGCGAGGCCUCAGGAUGGAGUCAUAGUAGUCAGGCCUUUGAGAUAAACAGCAACUUGGAUUAUACUGUAAUUAGCACCAUCUGGUCCAGUGAGCCCAGGUAGGUAUGAGACAUACAGGUGGAUGACCAGAACAUCUGGACCCAUACUGCGUUUCCUUCCCCUAAAUGUCUUUGUUCUUUCCAUAUACCCUUGCUACAUGACUCACUUCCCUAUUGGAUCAGUACUAGCUCAGUGGCUAUACCUGUAAUCCUAUAGGUUGAUUGUAGUUUGACCCAUGUUGUACCUACAUUGUGAUUUUGCUGUAUAAAAUACUCUUGAUAAAGAGCCUCAGCACCCACCCGUGUGGGACUCCUAGAAAUCCAGGAGCUAUUCUUAAUUCCAAUAAAACUCGCCUAACUUCGUCCUUUAGUUUACAGCUUCAUUCCUUGAUGUGAGACCAUGAACUUGGCACAUCUGACAUCUGUCAGGUUGGGAGUUAUAUUUUUUCCAUAUCAAAGAGACUUUGCCUCCCAGCUGAAACUGAAAAGGGAUCGAACUGGGGUCCUUGCGCUUGCAAGGCAAGCAGCAGAACCACAGAGCUAAAUCCCCCGGCCCUUGGCAUUUCUUGAAGACAUCUUGCUACAGAAGUUCCCACACCCAGGUCCCCCAACUGCAGGCCACCCACACCAGGCAGGAAGAGGACCCCACGAAUGUUUUUAAAUGACUUAUAGAAUCAGAGUGGUACCAUAGAGCUGAAGGUAAAAAGCUUAGCCACAGAGGUCUAAUCCAUUUACAAGCAGUGUGACCUUGGACAAAUUACCAAACUACAGUUUCCUUAUCAGUUCUCCAAUAUGUAUCCACCUUUAGCCUGCUAUGGUGGCACAAGCCUGUAAUCCCAGUACUCCGGAGGCUGAGGCAGGAGCCCGGCUAUACAAGGAGUUCAAGGCCGGCCUAGACUACCCAGCAAGAUCCCAUCUACUAGGUCACAGUCCCAGCCACACUGGAGGCACCCAAUAAAAGAUGGUUACCUUGUCUUAACUCUGUAUUCCCCUUUUCCCAAAGCUCUUGGUAACAUCUAAAUCAGUGAUGGUGAACCUUUUAGAGCAUUCAAUGAUAUAAACAGCUCUUUCAAUGACAUAAGUGGUGGCACUUGUACCUUAACCUCCCUUCC
ensembl:lncRNA